UGCCUAAUCUCGCUGGCAUGAAUGCCCUCAACUACUUAGAUAUGAGCAAUAAUACAUUCAGCUCAGCUGAUUUUCCACAGUGGUUUUCAUCUUUGCAGUCAUUGACGACUUUGGUAAUGGAGAACACUCAACUUCAAGGAGAAAUUCCGCCAACCCUCUUCAGUCUUUUUCAGUUACAGACUGUGUGAGUGUUCUUUUACUUUUAGGCCACAGUGCAUGUCAUGCAACUAUUCUCAUUUUUUGAUGCGUGCUAGACUUGUAACGAAGUUUGAGGUAGUACAAAGUGACCUAGUAUAUGAUUCUAUGUUUUGUAUUUCAAUUUUACGACAAUGAGGUGGUUAUUAUGACAGCAACUUGAGGGGAAACAAGAUCAAUGGAACCCUGAAUAUUGUAUCCAACUAUAGCGGUCAACUAAAACUGAUUGAUUUGCAGAACAAUUCCAUCGAUUCAUAUAUAGUAAGACCUGGAUUUUCUUUUCAAAUACUGUAAGUCCUCGAGUCACUUUUUCUCCACUUUAGCAAUGAGAAAGAAAUGUUGGAUCAUUCAUGUUAGGACAAUUGAUUCUUCUGAAUACAAUUUAGUCGUUUAACAAUCUCAGUUUUCUACUUGUUCACUUGGCAGACUUAUGCAUAAUCCAGUUUGUUAUGAAGAAGGAUCAGAAGACUACUGUGGCAAUUCCCAAACGAACUUUGGAUAUUCAAUUCCACAAGAUAAUUGCCUUAAAACACAAUGCAGCUUUGAUCAAAUUCUUAGCACCUUCCUUUUCCGACUUGACAAACACAAGCAUUUAUGAGUCACUUCAGAAGUCUAUGCUAUCAUAUUUUAGCCAAAAUCAUGUGCCUGUAGAUUCAGUUUCCUUGAGUAAUCCAAAAAAGAAUUCAAAGUACUACCUUGUGUUACACCUGCAAGUUUUUCCAUUUGGCCAAGUUCAUUUCAACCGUGCAGGGAUUGCCACAAUUAGAUUUGCACUUAGAAAUUGGUUUUAAGACCAGUGGGUCAUAAAUUUUGAAAUGUUUAAUGAAAAUCCAUGUCACUUUUGCCAUGUCAGCAGGCUGUUAAAAAAGGCAAUUUUAAACCUUAAAAAAACGUUAAGGGCAUUUUUAAACUAAUAGAUGGAAGGAGGGCAUU